GUUGCACUAUCGUCUUCCAGGUGAAUGAAUGUGUUACCUACCAAGAAUUUUGCUGUCUAGGUGAAUGCAGUCCCUGUCAACCUGACCAAAUUGCAUGAGACACAAGUGAAAGCCAUUGAGCCAAGAAGCCCCCCAGGACUAAUGAGAGAAAAGAAGUUGUGUUAUUGUAUAUGUUCUGGAGUGUUUUUUUUAAAUACAGCAAAGGAUACUGAGCAAUAACGAUCAUGGACAUCAUGAGAUCAAUUCGAGGAUGGACAUUCAUGUUGAGUGAGUGAUUGCAUGCCAAAUCUCCUUCUCCCAGGGAGACCUGGAACCCUUCCUAUCUGCCACCCAUUUCACAGGCCAAAGGACUGGACUGACAACUUCCUCUCUGAGGCUCUCAUUCAGUGUUGGAUGGCUAAUGUUUUUGCCUGC
rnacentral:lncRNA from 1 species